rnacentral:rRNA from 1 species
GAUGAACGCUGGCGGCGUGCCUAAUACAUGCAAGUCGAGCGAACGGACGAGAAGCUUGCUUUUCUGAUGUUAGCGGCGGACGGGUGAGUAACACGUGGAUAACCUACCUAUAAGACUGGGAUAACUUCGGGAAACCGGAGCUACUACCGGAUAAUAUUUUGAACCGCAUGGUUCAAAAGUGAAAGACGGUCUUGCUGUCACUUAUAGAUGGAUCCGCGCUGCAUUAGCUAGUUGGUAAGGUAACGGCUUACCAAGGCAACGAUGCAUAGCCGACCUGAGAGGAUGAUCAGCCACACUGGAACUGAGACACGGUCCAGACUCCUACGGGAGGCAGCAGUAGGGAAUCUUCCGCAAUGGGCGAAAGCCUGACGGAGCAACGCCGCGUGAGUGAUGAAGGUCUUCGGAUCGUAAAGCUCUGUUAUUAGGGAAGAACAUAUGUGUAAGUAACUGUGCACAUCUUGACGGUACCUAAUCAGAAAGCCACGGCUAACUACGUG